rnacentral:rRNA from 1 species
GACGAACGCUGGCGGCGUGCUUAACACAUGCAAGUCGAACGGAAAGGCCCUGCUUUUGUGGGGUGCUCGAGUGGCGAACGGGUGAGUAACACGUGAGUAACCUGCCCUUGACUUUGGGAUAACUUCAGGAAACUGGGGCUAAUACCGUAUAGUAGCUCCUUCUGCAUGGUGGGGGUUGGAAAGUUUCGGCGGUUGGGGAUGGACUCGCGGCUUAUCAGCUUGUUGGUGGGGUAGUGGCUUACCAAGGCUUUGACGGGUAGCCGGCCUGUGAGGGUGACCGGCCACAUUGGGACUGAGAUACGGACCAGACUCCUACGGGAGGCAGCAGUGGGGAAUAUUGCACAAUGGGAGGAAGCCUGAUGAAGCAACGCCGCGUGCGGGAUGACGGCCUUCGGGUUGUAAACCGAUUUAGCAUGUGACGAAGCGUGAGUGACGGUAAUGGGUAAAGAAGCACCGGCUAACUACGUG